GACGAACGCUGGCGGCGUGCUUAACACAUGCAAGUCGAACGAAGAGCGAUGGAAGCUUGCUUCUAUCAAUCUUAGUGGCGAACGGGUGAGUAACGCGUAAUCAACCUGCCCUUCAGAGGGGGACAACAGUUGGAAACGACUGCUAAUACCGCAUACGAUCCAAUCUCGGCAUCGGGACUGGAUGAAAGGUGGCCUCUAUUUAUAAGCUAUCACUGAAGGAGGGGUUUGCGUCUGUUUAGGUAGUUGGGGGGGUAACGGCCCACCAAGGGGAAGAUGAGUAGCAGGUCGGAGAGGAGGAACGGCCAAAUUGGGAAUGAGACAAGGCACAGAAUGCUACGGGGGGGAGCAGUGGGGAAACGUCCGAAAGGGACGAAAGUCUGACGGAGAAACGCCGAGUGAGGGAUGACGGCCGUCGGGUUGGAAAGCUCGGUUAAUCGGGACGAAUGGUUCUUGUGCGAAUAGUGCGAGGAAUUGACGGUACCGGAAUAGAAAGCCACGGCUAACUACGUG
rnacentral:rRNA from 1 species